rnacentral:rRNA from 1 species
GACGAACGCUGGCGGCGUGCUAACACAUGCAAGUCGAACGGAAAGGCCCUGCUUUUGUGGGGUGCUCGAGUGGCGAACGGGUGAGUAACACGUGAGUAACCUGCCCUUGACUUUGGGAUAACUUCAGGAAACUGGGGCUAAUACCGGAUAGGAGCUCCUGCUGCAUGGUGGGGGUUGGAAAGUUUCGGCGGUUGGGGAUGGACUCGCGGCUUAUCAGCUUGUUGGUGGGGUAGUGGCUUACCAAGGCUUUGACGGGUAGCCGGCCUGAGAGGGUGACCGGCCACAUUGGGACUGAGAUACGGCCCAGACUCCUACGGGAGGCAGCAGUGGGGAAUAUUGCACAAUGGGCGGAAGCCUGAUGCAGCAACGCCGCGUGCGGGAUGACGGCCUUCGGGUUGUAAACCGCUUUCGCCUGUGACGAAGCGUGAGUGACGGUAAUGGGUAAAGAAGCACCGGCUAACUACGUGCCAGCAGCCGCGGUGAUACGUAGGGUGCGAGCGUUGUCCGGAUUUAUUGGGCGUAAAGGGCUCGUAGGUGGUUGAUCGCGUCGGAAGUGUAAUCUUGGGGCUUAACCCUGAGCGUGCUUUCGAUACGGGUUGACUUGAGGAAGGUAGGGGAGAAUGGAAUUCCUGGUGGAGCGGUGGAAUGCGCAGAUAUCAGGAGGAACACCAGUGGCGAAGGCGGUUCUCUGGGCCUUUCCUGACGCUGAGGAGCGAAAGCGUGGGGAGCGAACAGGCUUAGAUACCCCGGUAGUCCACGCUGUAAACGGUGGGUACUAGGUGUGGGGUCCAUUCCACGGGUUCCGUGCCGUAGCUAACGCUUUAAGUACCCCGCCUGGGGAGUACGGCCGCAAGGCUAAAACUCAAAGGAAUUGACGGGGCCCCGCACAAGCGGCGGAGCAUGCGGAUUAAUUCGAUGCAACGCGUAGAACCUUACCUGGGUUUGACAUGGAUCGGGAGUGCUCAGAGAUGGGUGUGCCUCUUUUGGGGUCGGUUCACAGGUGGUGCAUGGCUGUCGUCAGCUCGUGUCGUGAGAUGUUGGGUUAAGUCCCGCAACGAGCGCAACCCUUGUUCACUGUUGCCAGCACGUUAUGGUGGGGACUCAGUGGAGACCGCCGGGGUCAACUCGGAGGAAGGUGGGGAUGACGUCAAGUCAUCAUGCCCCUUAUGUCCAGGGCUUCACGCAUGCUACAAUGGCUGGUACAGAGAGUGGCGAGCCUGUGAGGGUGAGCGAAUCUCGGAAAGCCGGUCUCAGUUCGGAUUGGGGUCUGCAACUCGACCUCAUGAAGUCGGAGUCGCUAGUAAUCGCAGAUCAGCAACGCUGCGGUGAAUACGUUCCCGGG